GUGCCCGCUUCGGCAGCACAUAUACUAAAAACGGAAUGGUACAGAGAUUAGCACGGCCCCUGUGCAAGGUUGACACAAAAAUUAUGAAGCCUUCCCCACCAAA